UCCCAAGUGGCUCAGUGGUAAAGAACCUGCCUGCUAAGGCAGGAGAUGUGGGUUCCAUCCCUGUGUUGGGAA
rnacentral:tRNA from 1 species